CCUACGGGAGGCAGCAGUGGGGGAUAUUGCACAAUGGGCGAAACUCUGAUGCAGCGACGCCGCGUGAGUGAAGAAGUAUUUCUGUAUGGAAAGCUCUAUCAGCAGGGAAGAAAAUGACAGUACCUGACCAAUAAGCCCCGGCUAACUACGUGCCAGCAGCCGCGGCAAUACGUAGGCGGCAAGCGUUAUCCGGAUUUACUGGGUGUAAAGGGAGCGUAGACGGUUAUGUAAGUCUGGAGUGAAAGCCUGGGGCCCAACCCCGGAACUGCUUUGGAAACUGUGUAACUGGAGUACAGGAGGGGCAGGCGGAAUUCCUGGUGUAGCGGUGAAAUGCGUAGAUAUCAGGAGGAACACCGGCGGCGAAGGCGGCCUGCUGGACUGAAACUGACGUUGAGGCUCGAAAGCGUGGGGAGCAAACAGGAUUAGAUACCCGUGUAGUC
rnacentral:rRNA from 1 species